rnacentral:tRNA from 1 species
GCCAGCGUAGCUCAGUUGGUAGAGCAGCGCUUUCGUAAAGCGCAGGCCGCGGGUUCGAAUCCCUCCGCUGGCU